rnacentral:lncRNA from 1 species
UGAUUUAUAACCCUUUGGGUAUAUACCCAGCAAAGGGAUGGCUGGGUCAAAUGGUAUUUCUAGUUCUAGAUCCUUGAGGAAUCGCCACACUGUUUUCCACAAUGGUUGACUAGUUUACAGUCCCACCAACAGUGUAAAAGUGUUCCUAUUUCUCCAUAUCCUCUCCAGCACCUGUUGCUUCCUGAUUUUUUAAUGAUCGCCAUUCUAACUGGUAUGAGAUGGUAUCUCAUGGUGGUUUUGAUUUGCAUUUCUCUGAUGGCAAGUGAUGAUGAGCAUUUUUUUCAUGUGUCUGUUGGCUGUAUGAAUGUCUUCUGUUGAGAAAUGUCUGUUCAUAUCCUUUGCCCACUUUUUGAUGUGGUUGUUUGAUUUUUUCUCGUAAAUUUGUUUGAGUUCUUUGUAGGUUCUGGAUAUUAGCCCUUUGUCAGAUGAGUAGAUUGCAAAAAUUUUCUCCCAUUCUGUAGGUUGCCUGUUCACUCUGAUGGUAGUUUCUUUUGCUGUGCAGAAGCUCUUUAGUUUAAUUAGUUCUCAUUUGUGAAUUUUGGCUUUUGUUGCCAUUGCUUUUGGUGUUUUAGACAUGAAGUCCUUGCCCAUGCCUAUGUCCUGAAUGGUAUUGCCUAGGUUUUCUUCUAGGGUUUUCAUGGUAUUAGGUCUAACAUUUAAGUCUCUAAUCCAUCAUAAUCCUUCCUGCAAAGGGACCAUCCCAAGGCCCCCGCAGGAUGUCUCAGGUUUGCCUUAAUCUGUUUAGACAAGAGGGCCCAGCAGGGUGAAGGAAGAUCUAAGCCUAGGGAUGGAUGCGGAAGAUGCUGUUUGUCAUAAUAAACUCACUACCACCAUGUUUAGAGGCACCAGUCUGUCUCAACCUUCUUCUUCACCUUUCCAUACCCUCUUCACACCUCCUUCAUCUUCUCGGCCCUUUCAAAUGUCAAAAUAUAUACCCCCUCCUACUGAAACUAUUUACUUAGACUAGAAAUAAAAGCCUAGGGGAGCCCCGAGUACUUAAUGCACUCCUGUAGUUGAUGCAAGAUGCAGCUUGUUAUAGCUCUUCUGACCACUCCACAGCUGCUGCCCCUGGUGCUCCCAGGAGAGUCUCAGGUACAGGCAGAGGGUGGAGGGAUCACAGCAGUAGGUGGAGAUUGUUUUGUGCUUUGGGCUGGCUUCCUUCACCACUCUGAUUCUGUUCAAGAACCUCCAGGUUCUGGGAGAAAGUGAGGGUAGACAGAAAUAGGGAGGAAGAAAAGAAAGAUGGGACACCCUGCAUGUUCUGAUUUUCCCUUUGCUUGUAUGUAUGGGCAUAAGGAGAGUGAGGAAAGAUAAAGGUGAAAGCAAUAGAGGAAGGAACUCUCGGCUGUAUGCCCUGCUCAGUUAUGAGGCCCUGUUUUCUGCAAAAAUCUGCCACCUUCUUCCUGUGCUCAGCAUGCAGGAACUCAGGGUGGCUAUAAAAGGCUAUGCAAUCUUUAUUUUAUUAUCCUUCAAAAGCUAAACUAUUGGGCUGGAGCUGCAGGCUGAAGUCAUAACCAUAUUAAGCUAUAGUGCCAAAGCCAUAAAAGCUAUGAGUGAGACAUCUCAGAGAAGGACAGGGGCCACAGACAUUUUAAUUCAAAAAGAUUUUGUUAGGAAACCUCAGUGGGUGUUGCAUGCACAUUAAAAAAAAUUGGGAAGGAGUCUUGGUUGAAUCUAGUGCUGGUUUAUCCAGCUCCAAAAUGGGACUAAGGGAUGGAUUUAGAGAAAUACAACUAAUAUAAAGACUCUUACUAGAGGCAGGCCAGGCACUGUUCUAAGUACUUUACAAAUAUUCUAUCUAUCUAUCUAUCUAUCUAUCUAUCUAUCUAUCUAUCUAUCUAUCUAUCAUCUCUUUAGCUCUAUCUAUAAUUCUUAAAACAAUAAAAUAAAUUCCACACUUUGCCCCAUUAUACAUAUUAAGACAAUGGGGGCACAGAGAAAUUAAAUAAUUUGCCCAGUGUCCCAGAGUCAGGAUUAGAACUCAGGAAAUAUGGCUAUGGGAUCAGUGGGUUUGGGUUCUGAGUAUGGAAGUGAUAUGAUAGGCAUAUGCCGGAGGAGAAGAGACCAAAUUAUGCAUCUCUCUAGAAACUUUCCCUCUCUCUCUAUCUAGCUGAGGCAAGGGAGCUGCCUCCCAGCCUUACCCUUUUGUCCUGUGCUGCAUACCCACCCCAACAUAACUUGGAUCUCUGCCACUUCCUUAGGUGUCAGAGCAUAGGAUCUAAAACAUAGAUGGGACCUGGGGACAACUUGAAGCAUUGUCACUUAUUAGUCAUGUAACUUAGCAAGAUAUUUAGACUCUCAGAACCUCAUGGUUUUCAACUAUAAAAUGUGGAUUACAAUUCACCCUCUGUUAUGUCUUGUGAAUGCUAAACAUCCCUUCAGAAUGAUGCAUUAUGGUAUUGUUACUGUUCCUUUGAUGAUUUGCAAGUCUGUCCCUGCUGUCUUCAAUACAAGGUAAAGUUGUAGGAAUCUGUCAGAUCUCUAGAAUGGGGAUUCUGUAGACAACUGAGGCUUCCUAAGCCUAUCCCCUAACACAUCUCUGCAGACCAGCUUUGCUUUCUCCCACAGGGCUUUGAAGAAAAAUCAGCUUCUGGCAAUGUGAACUGCAGCCAGAUCCAGCCAGUGCAUGAGGUAGGGUGAGGUAGGCCCCACAAACAGGUUCUGGAAGGGACCUGCAGCUUCAAUUCUGGGAAAUCAAGGGAAGCAUAACUCAAUCCCCUAACAGAGGAAUGCACUAACAGACAGUCAAGAAGAAACCCCUGUGCAGAGGUAAUGCUUCUCUGGCACUCCAAAGUAGGCUCAGCCUCUUCUCCUGCUUCAUGUUUGCAAACAGCCCAGGUUGACCCAACAUGCUUCAUUAUGUUUACUGUGCCUAUGGCCAUGCUUUGCAGCUGGUGAGAAGUGUGUCAAGCUCUGUGGAUGAAGGAGACACAUGCCAUUGUGUGGUUCACCUACCCAACAACCCCAUCCCCCUGGAGCAGCUGGAAUAGCUACAAAGUAGAGUUCAGGAGCUCAUUUGCAAGUAUGAGCAGAAGCUGGGCUGGGGCUGGGGCUGGGCCUGGGAGUUAUCCAAGCAUAGUCUCCAAUAGACACAGCAUUGAGAUGAGUCCUGGAAGUAGAAAAUGUUUGAAGGAAGUGGCACAGCCCUCAUCUUUGAGAUGAAUCUUUAGAAUGAAGGGGAAAUUCUGUACUAUCCUUGGGAUCUCCAGUGAUAGUAACAGACUAUAGAGAGGCUUGUGUAGGGGGUGCCUCCCAUAGUAAUGGAUGAAUUAAUGGGUAUGGACCCACUGGAAGAUGAAACUAGGGCAAUUUUGGUCUGGGAGGAUGCAGCUGAAUGGGAGGAGCCACAGGUCUUGACAUUUGGGGCAACUUCCUGUUCAUCCCCUGCAUGCCUAGGUCAGUGAGUAUGCACACACCAUUGAAGAUAAAGACAAUGAGGUUCUGGAAAUGAGUCACAUGCCGGAGUCCUGGAAUCCCAGUGCCCUUGCUUCUCCCUAUAAGAACCCAGCCUUCAACCUGCUGCGCCUGGAACUGGAGGGAGCACAGAAGUUGGUGACUCAACUUACAGCCAUUGGAGGCAUUAUUGUGGCAGCGGACCUUCUCCACUGACUCCAGAGCCAGGUAUACGGAUAGAUUAAAGAAUACCCCUCCCUAGGCCGGGUGCGGUGGCUCACGCCUGUAAUUCCAGCACUUUGGGAGGCUGAUGUGGGCAGAUCACCUGAGGUCAGGAGUUCGAGACCAGCCUGGCCAACAUGGUGAAAUCCCAUCUCUACUAAAAAUACAAAAAUUAGCCAGUUGUGGUGGUGGGCACCUGUAAUCCCAGCUACUUGGGAGGUUGAGGCAAGAGAAUAGCUUGAACCCAGGAGAUGGAGGUUGCAGUGAGCUGAGAUUGCACCACUGCACUGCAGCCUGGGUGACAGAGCAAGACUCUGUGUCAAAAAAAAAAAAAAAAAAAAAAAA